UCUGUCAAGGAGCUGGUGCAGAAGAGGAACGAUGGCUCCAAGAAGCCCCAGGCCACAUUGUCUUCUAGCAAACAGUACUGAGCACUUUAUUCAGAUGUGACAAAGCACAUGACAAGCUGUACAUGUCUCUUCCUCAGGAAAAUCUUUCUGGCAGAGAUGGCCAGUGACACAGAUUGUUCUCUUUCCCUACAAAUGCUCUAUGAUAAAAAAAUGUCUACUUCUGCAUUACACUGAACACAACUUCUUUGGAGGGGUUUUCACAACUGAGAGACAAAAAGACCCCAUUGGUUGCAGCUCAGACGAUCCAGUGCAGUGGCAAGGGCAGUGGUAUGGAGGCUGUGACAGGGCCAAGUUUCUGCUGCCUGACUUGGGACAAGGAAAUUCAACCAGGGCUUUUUUUUCAUCUGAGUGGAGUCUUUUCCUGAUGGGUGUUUUGAUGAGAAGUCUCAGUCUAGAAGCAGGAUGCCAUUCCACAAAGAUGCAGUUCUCAUGCAUGUGGUUUGGCCUGGCUGAAUCAUGGUUUUCUUACCCUGAAACAGGAUCAAGUUUGAGUAGUAAGUAGCAAUGCAAUUCCUGAUCAACUUCAGGCAACAGGUGUCUCAAUGUGGACUUUUUGUCUUGAUAUUCCUGUCCUUCAUCUGAUUUGCUUGAUGGAGACAGCAUGUUUGGUUUCCUUUGUCCUGUGCUGCAAUCAGCAUUUAAGACAGGAAUUUGGUCCUUGCUGUCUCUUCACGGCAGUUGCAGAGCUACUUGUACCUGUUCUCCUCUGAUCACAGAGGGGAUUUAUUUAGCUCUGUCACGCUCAGCAGUGGCAGGAAAGUGACCACAUGCCUCAGUAGCAUAGCUAGCAUCUUUCCAUGCUCAUGCAAGAGACAGGUUGAUCCAGGAGAAUUGUUCCCAGGGGGGUUGUUAAGCUGUGGAUCUAGUCUCUAGGGAAGCAAAUGAAAUGUGAGCAUAGUUCUGGGGUGUCUGGCUUCUGUUUUUAUCUCUGUGACUGAUUUUCUGAAUCCUUCACAUAUGACCCUGUUCAUCUGUUCAGAUGCAUCUGAGCUAUUUUUGCAGAUUGUCAUGCCUGGUUGUAGAGACACUUCUCCAGAGUGAUGAGUUUCCUUAUUAUGAGACAAAAACAUCCCAUAUGAGGAGCCACUUAAACUUGGAAGUAGUGUAUCUCUUUCUCCACAAAGCAAUGUGACCUGUGUGCCUUGGCAGCCAUCUGAAGAUAGAUCAGAUGCAUCUUAUCCUUGCUUUUUCUGAGUGAGCACUGGCGAGAAUGUUCCUUGCAGAUUGUCUCCCAAAAUGAUUGUCAUGAGGUCCACGUUGUUUUUCAGAGCCUCAUGACUUUCCAGCUUGAAAUCACAUCAUUAGAAAAGCUACUGAAGAUGUUUUGCUCACAAUUUACUGAAGGUAUUAUCACCAACAGGUCCUCAUUUGGUUUUAUUUUCCAGGGUGAAAUCUACCUCUGAUGGAUGCCUCCUACACCGUGCACAAGCCCAGGUCACGUUACCUCCGGUUGAGGAAGAAACAGAGCUGCUCCAGAAGCUUUACAAUCUCCUGGAGGCCAAGGGGUUUCAGACGCGCAUGGAAGGAGUGUCACUCCUCCAAGACCUGUGCAAAACCAGCCCCCAGCUCAUCUCCACUAACAUUGUCCAAAUUUUUGAUUAUUUUGUCCUGAGAAUAUCUGACAGCCACAAGAAAGUGAAGCAGAAGGCGCUGGACGUGCUGGCUGAAAUCACAGGCAUCCUGAAAGAUGCCUUGAACCCGGUGAUCAUUGGUUUGGUGGAAGGAAUAACGAAGAACCUGAACUCCAAGGAUCCCAGGGUUCGUGCUGCAGCUGUGAAAGCGCUGGAAGAAUCCAUUGCUCAUUUAGGUAAGGCUGAGCCCUGGCAUGGACUCUCCUCACCUGUGUCUCUGUCUCUCCGACACAAGAGAGUGCUGAGUGCAUUGAUAGCUGCUGUUGUCUGUGGAAAGCUCCAGCUGGCAUCCCCCAGAAGCUGUGCAGGUGCAGUCCUUAUGCACCAGUCCCCCAACAGGCUUGAACGUGAUCAGCAUUUCCCAAAAGUCCCAGGAGCCCUUGGCUCUGUGCUGCCUGUCUGAAGAGCAAGUCCCAGACUACAGCUUUGCUACAGUUCAGAGGCAAAGGGGGUUUGGAGUUUGCUUGGGCCCCGUUUGACUUCCCAAAUGAAUAGCUUUGCUCUUGGCAUGAAGGGAGACUGACCCAUCAGAGCUCCUGCAGAGCAGCCACCGGGAAUGCUCUACAUGAUAGGCAUUAGCUGCCUAUUUUCCCCUUUUCUUCUUUGUCUUCUAUUUUCAAAGGGGAACUUAGGAUUCGCCAAGUUCAUUUCUUUAUAACAAAUAGGUAUAAACCCAGCUGUCAAUGGUGCCCUGUUCCACAUGUUGUUUUGCAUGGGGCAAGAUGUCUACAGCAGUUAGCUACAUAGGCAAAGGCUGCUCUCAAUUCCUUUGCCACACAGAUUUAUGUCAGCUCUGAAAAUGCCACACUGAGGAAAUAUGCCUGAAAAUAGGAGUGUUGAAGAGGCAGGUGUUCAAGGGGAGUUGCCACUUUCUCCUCCUCAGCUGCUCUGUGAAUUCAGGAACUGCCUGACUCGGUGCCUUUCUGUGUCCCAAGUAUGGGGUUCUUCCUUUUUGCUCUGGGAUGCAAAACCAUUUCACUACUUACAUGUGACUGAACUCUUGAUGUCCCUGAUGGGAAAUGUUUUAACAUAGCUCCUGAUACAGCAGACAACUUUGCAUUUACAAAUGUGAAAGGAGAGCUUUUCUUUUGCAAUUUAAAUCCCUGCCAAGCAGGCUGGAAGGAAAGAAGAAAAGGAUUCAAAAACCAGCAGAAAUGUACUUUAUUUUAUAGAAUGGGGUUGCCCCUACCCUUUCCCUCUGCACUGUCCUUUCUCCUAUGGUCUCAGAAAAGUGAGCAGAAACAUGUGUUUCACUUGUAGAUAAGGUAUCACUGCUGAAAGAGUUCAGCUACCAGUGGAAUCAACUGAGUGGCCAAGCUCUGCUGGAUGUCACGGAGUGUAUCACAGGUAUGGCCUCCCCUUCUAGGCCAAGAGGUCUUCCCAGGGAGUAUUUACAGGCAAUGCCUGUGAACAGACAGCAGAGUAGCUCCUCCAAACCAGGAGGUGCUGAGCUUGUCCCUCCUGCCCAGUGCCCAAGGCAGGUGUAUUUGGCAGGUUUCCCUGGCUGCUGCAGAGCUGUGCAGCACCUGAGAUGGGGGCAGAGCUCGGCCUCGGGGCUGAGCUCCCACUGGGGCAUCUCAGAACCCAGCUCCAGGAAAGGGAGGGACUCAAAAUACCCCAGCUGGCUCCUCUCUUGGAAGCUCAGGGACAUCUGUCAUCUUUUCGGGAAAAUGGUGCCAAAUGCUGUUUCAGGGGAUCAGUUUGUUUUGUCCUCACAGAACUCUUGUUUUUCUCUUGGAAAGCUUUGAGGCUGAACUGUGCAGAGCCUGGGGUCACAGCUUAGGUCAAAACUCAACAGAUGUAUUAGAGGCAGGGAUUUAGUGCAAGGCAGCCUUUGGGGGCAGAGGGGCAGAAGCAGAGUGCUGAGGCUUCCUGCCUGUGCUGUCAAAGUGGCGCUGGACUGAGCAUUUCAGGGUGUGCAAACAGUGUCUGCCUGUGUCAGCACUGUCCCAAAUGUUACAAAUGCAGCUGAUAAUUGAUUCCUCAGAGGUGCUUGCUAUGUCAGCAAUAGCCAAGGAAUGGGAAAAUUAUAAUCCCAAUAUAUAGUAGAACAGACUAUUGAUAGCCUUGCUUUAACUGGGGCUAAAGCCACUGCUAAUUAGGCCAACAUCUUUGAAUGCAAGGUUUAAUACACUUUGUGUCUUCAUUGGGAAUCUCAAAAGGGCAUGUUCAGCAAUUGGGAAUGUCAAAGGCCCUUUAAAGAGCUUUGAAAAAAGUAGAUCUCCAGCAACAGGGAAUUUAGUUUUACAGAUCUUUUGAUCUCUUUUUCAAAUAAAGGAAUGAAACAUAAAUUAGGACUACUUUAGAAAAAGUAGAUGUUCUCUCUGAGAUUCAGUAGGAAGAGACAGCUGUUCCUUACCUUCAAUAGUCACCAAUGUCUUUAAUUGCAUUUAAACUCAAAUGAAUUCCCAUGUUAAAAUGGGUAUCAUAACCCUUUUCCUGCUUAGCACAAUUGGGGUUUGGGUACUUUCAGGAGCUGUUUUAAUAUUGAUGACUGCCAGUGGAUUAAAAGCAUAGAGAAAAUGAAGUCUCUUCCACCACAGAAUAAUAAAUGGCUACUAGAUAACAUUUUGCCUGAUCAGAAAAUAAGAAUGGUCUCCAGAGCUUUUCAGGAUUUGAGCUUUCAGCCAAAUCUGCCAUGCAAGGAGCCUGUUGGUAGUAAAUUUUUGUCUGUGUUUGACAUAGUUUGGUUCAGAAAAUGAGCAGAGAGCAGUUUUCAGAGACAAUAUGAGAAAAUACUUGUGUUUUGGAUGAAUUUCAGUCCCUUGUGUAGCAUUUUGCUCUCUCUAUGCCCCUAGUUCAGUGGACAUUAUAAGAAAAAAUGCCAUUAAGAUUGGGAGGGGAAAUGGCAUUAAAAUGUGGAGAUGCUCAAAUGCCAUAGCAAUGGGGUCUGGAUAAUUCUCUAAGGCACCCUGAGGUUUGAAACAGCUGCUUGUUGGAAGCCCCAGAAGCAUUCUGCCAAAGACACCAGCUAGUCACUGAUGUUUCCAAUCCAACUGUCAAGCAGCAGCCAUCUCUGGUGGGCUGGAGUUUUGAGGUGUGUUCUAAUCCUGCCCUUUGCAGUGUGCCACUGAGCAAAGGGAAGAGCCAGAUUAAACAUAUGGCACUUGACAUCAAAGUUAUGAAAAUGGAAUCAUCCCUUUUAUUGGAAAUCCCUCCAUUUCCUAUCUACGGUGCUUUUCCAAAUCUUCAGUGUGGGUUUAGACAACUUCUUAAUGGAAAUAAAAAGCAACUGGACAUUUCAUUCAUUGCUCAUGCAGAAAGUGAUUGUGCAAUAAUUUAGUAAAGGUACAAAGUCUGCCACAGGGACAAGGCUAUGGUUGGAGAAAUUAGUCCUGAGGGGUUGGUGGUUCUGUUUCCAGGAUGAUCAGCUGCUUUGCCCGUUUCUGGAUCAUGGGGCUCUGUGCUAUUUUGCUGAUCUUAGCCAGAAGGCUUCCAAUUAGCAAAAGCAGAGGUAGAUCCCUGUUUGCAUUAAGGCUGGUGGUUGAGAAGCUGUGUCUCUCUCCCGGCAGUGUUUGUGGAGUGGGUUUAUGCCAGGAGCCCUGAAGUGGUCCAGCACGACGCCCUGCCCGUGCUCUGGUCCUUCCUGGAGAACAAGGCGCUGCCGGUGCGAAGCGCCAAUGUCCGCACUGUGGCCACCAAGCUUGCCUCUGCCCUCUACAAGGUGAUGGGCACCAAGCUGAAGAGAUGUGCUGCCAGCCAGCCUCCACAUGUGCGGGAAAACCUCUCCAAAAUGUUGGGCUGGUGAAGGCAUGAUGUUCUCCAGAGAGAUGACAACGUGCUGAGUUGGACACCUCCAGAUCUGCCUUGUUAGCUGUGCCAAAAGAGACCAAAUGCUAAGGAAGGGUGUGCACCUGCCCCCUCUCUCUCCAUCGCCCUUCCUAGUCAUGGCAUGGGGGGCCUGAAGCAACUCCAGACCGAGGACAAAGUGAAGGCUGAUCAUGGCUCAGCCUCACACAGAGAUGUGACUGGUUACAGUCUUACUGAGAAGGUUCCUCUGGACAAUUCCCAUGGUGCCUUACCCACAAAGUCCUUGCCUGCUGUACAGAAGAGCUCUCUUUUCUCCAAGUUCAGGAAGAAGCUGCUGCCUGUAUGAAGAUUGUUUGAAGAAUAGGAUUUAUAUGUUAGGUUUUGUAGUAGAUGUACAUAUGUUCUGAUCCUUAGAUGUAGUUUUGAAUAAAUGUGUUUUGAUUGUACCUUUAAAUCUUGAUUACAUAUUUUUAAUUGUAUAUAUUUUAUACUAAUGAUGAAAAAAAAGUAAAUAAAUAAAUUAAAUUUAAAUAAACCGGGAGAAGAAUGUGA